UACGUAGGGGGCAAGCGUUGUCCGGAAUCAUUGGGCGUAAAGAGCGUGUAGGCGGCCAGAUAAGUCCGCUGUGAAAUCUCGAGGCUCAACUUCGAGCUGUCGGUGGAAACUGUCUGGCUAGAGUCCGGAAGAGGAGAAUGGAAUUCCUGGUGUAGCGGUGAAAUGCGCAGAUAUCAGGAGGAACACCCAUGGCGAAGGCAGCAAACUGGCCGGCAUCUGACGCUGAGGCGCGAAAGCGUGGGUAGCAAACAGG
rnacentral:rRNA from 1 species